rnacentral:lncRNA from 1 species
GCGAUUCAUAUUACAGAUGCAUAAAGAAUACAAUUCAUAAGGAUUUGUUCCUAGUUACAAUACAACUUUUACUCUUACUACAUAGCUAGCGCAAUCAUCACUCACUUCCUAUUUCCUACUCACUACUUGCUAAAAAAUGGAGAAAAAGAAAGAAAAAUAAAUGUGUGGGGAUGUGAAAAAUCUGCAGCAGCCUCCAUCCACCCUUUAUACUACCCCACCACUACACUUUGUCAAGCCAAUUGAGGAGCAACAACUCCUCCUCCACUUAGUCGACUCCAGCCAAACAACACCACAUUCUUCCACCUUAUUCCCUGACAUCAACCGCAAUUAAUGGAGAGCAACAACUAUUAAUCAUUUCAGCCAUUUCAAUUUGCUCAAUACCUCAACAAUUGAAGGAGUAGAGAGAUAACCUUCAUUCAUUACUCUGCCAAGUUCAAAGGGUAAGCCAUGCUUUAACUCUCUCUAGCUCUGCCUUGUAUUCCUC